rnacentral:rRNA from 1 species
UACAGAGACUGCAAGCGUUAUCCGGAUUCACUGGGUUUAAAGGGUGCGUAGGUGGGUCUGUAAGUCCGUGGUGAAAUCUCCAAGCUUAACUUGGAAACUGCCAUGGAUACUAUAGGUCUUGAAUACCGUGGAGGUGAGCGGAAUAUGUCAUGUAGCGGUGAAAUGCUUAGAUAUGACAUAGAACACCAAUUGCGAAGGCAGCUCACUACACGAAUAUUGACACUGAGGCACGAAAGCGUGGGGAUCAAACAGG